rnacentral:tRNA from 1 species
GGCAGUGGCUCAGUGGUAGAGCACUUGCCUAGCAUGUGUGAGGCACAGGGAUUGAUUCUCAGUGCCA